GCUGGGCACGGUGGCACAUGCCUGUAAUCCCAGAGGCUUGGGAGGCUGAGACAGGAGGAUCAUGAGUUCAAAGCCAGCCUCAGCAACAGCCAGGCCCUAAGCAACUCAGUGAGACUCUGUCUCUA
rnacentral:sRNA from 1 species